rnacentral:rRNA from 1 species
ACCAGACUCCUACGGGAGGCAGCAGUGGGGAAUAUUGCACAAUGGGCGAAAGCCUGAUGCAGCAACGCCGCGUGAAGGAAGAAGGGUUUCGGCUCGUAAACUUCUAUCAACAGGGACGAAAGAAAUGACGGUACCUGAAUAAGAAGCCCCGGCUAACUACGUGCCAGCAGCCGCGGUAAUACGUAGGGGGCAAGCGUUAUCCGGAAUUACUGGGGGUAAAGGGAGCGUAGACGGCAGUGCAAGUCUGGAGUGAAAGGCGGGGGCUCAACCCCCGGACUGCUCUGGAAACUGUUGGUCUUGAGUAUCGGAGAGGCAGGCGGAAUUCCUAGUGUAGCGGUGAAAUGCGUAGAUAUUAGGAGGAACACCAGUGGCGAAGGCGGCCUGCUGGACGACAACUGACGGUGAGGCGCGAAAGCGUGGGGAGCAAACAGGAUUAGAUACCCGCGUACAA